rnacentral:rRNA from 1 species
AUGUACACAUCCUGCAGGCCGCACGCGCGCGCCUUCCACCACCACCACCCGGCCGACCUGGCCCAGCGGGGCGGCGGCCAGCCCGGCCUGCUCCCGGCCGCAGCGUGGAGGUGGGGCGGCGCGGCGCCGAGGGCGAGCCUGGUGGCGGCGCGGACGGCGACGGAAGAGGCGGUGUACGAGGUGGUGCUGCGGCAGGCCGCGCUGGUGGAGGACUUGCAGGGGCGGCGGGCGGCGCGGGAGGCCGACACCGGCCAGCGCCGCCGGUGGCGGGACGAGCAGCUGGAGCAGGAGGGCGACGCCGAGCUCGGCUGGGGCCUCCUCGGCGAUGCCUACGACCGCUGCGGCGAGGUCUGCGCCGAGUACGCCAAGACCUUCUACCUCGAUAAUUUAUUCAGUCUGAAGCCAAAUACUCAUGCAUAUACCAGUGACCCCCUACAGUUUGGAAAUUAUGGGAAGGCAUCCAUGGACGCCGCCGCCACUGCUCCGACCCCGCUGCCAACGCCCCAUGGAGACUCUGUUCUCUCUCGUGUCCUGCGUGUCCCGGCCAACAAACCAAUUACCCUAAGGUUCAUUGAUGACAGCCAAGGGUUCAUGCUCGGAAACGACUACAUCUUGCUCCAUGUUGUCGGCUCAGCUAGAGUCCUUAAUCAUGAGGAGAUGGGACACGUCGAUUGUUACAAUACACUUUGA